GAGUUUGAUCCUGGCUCAGAUUGAACGCUGGCGGCAUGCCUUACACAUGCAAGUCGAACGGCAGCAUGAUCUAGCUUGCUAGAUUGAUGGCGAGUGGCGAACGGGUGAGUAAUACAUCGGAACGUGCCCUGUAGUGGGGGAUAACUAGUCGAAAGAUUAGCUAAUACCGCAUACGACCUGAGGGUGAAAGUGGGGGACCGCAAGGCCUCAUGCUAUAGGAGCGGCCGAUGUCUGAUUAGCUAGUUGGUGGGUAAAGGCCCACCAAGGCGACGAUCAGUAGCUGGCCUGAGAGGACGAUCAGCCACACUGGGACUGAGACACGGCCCAGACUCCUACGGGAGGCAGCAGUGGGGAAUUUUGGACAAUGGGCGAAAGCCUGAUCCAGCAAUGCCGCGUGUGUGAAGAAGGCCUCGGUUGUAAG
rnacentral:rRNA from 1 species